rnacentral:rRNA from 1 species
UACGUAGGUGGCAAGCGUUGUCCGGAAUUAUUGGGCGUAAAGAGCUCGUAGGCGGUUUGUCGCGUCUGCUGUGAAAACGCGAGGCUCAACCUCGCGCCUGCAGUGGGUACGGGCAGACUAGAGUGCGGUAGGGGAGAUUGGAAUUCCUGGUGUAGCGGUGGAAUGCGCAGAUAUCAGGAGGAACACCGAUGGCGAAGGCAGAUCUCUGGGCCGUAACUGACGGCUGAGGAGCGAAAGCGUGGGGAGCGAACAGG